GAUGAAGAACGUAGCGAAAUGCGAUGAUUAAUGUGAAUUGCAGAAUUCCGUGAAUCAUCGAGUCUUUGAACGCACAUUGCGCCUCAUGGCAUUCCGUGAGGCAUGCCCAUCUCAGCGUUAGAAAAUAUUCUCAAAUUUUAGUUUUGUGCUAAAAUUUGGAUCAUGUCAAAGAAGCUAUUACUAUUAUUGUGAUCGCUCUUUGGAAAUUGAUAGGUCUUUGAGUUGCUACUCAUAGAACGUGAUGAAUCUUUCUUCGUUCUAUUGUAAUUCACUCUGGUAGUCCUAAAACUUGUAUGCCUGUGGCAUAUCUUGUAAUUUGACCUGAGAUUGGGUAGGGAUACCCGCUGAACUUAAGCAUAUCAAUAAGCGGAGGA
rnacentral:misc_RNA from 1 species